GAUGAACGCUGGCGGCGUGCCUAAUACAUGCAAGUCGAGCGAACGGACGAGAAGCUUGCUUCUCUGAUGUUAGCGGCGGACGGGUGAGUAACACGUGGAUAACCUACCUAUAAGACUGGGAUAACUUCGGGAAACCGUAGCUAAUACCGGAUAAUAUUUUGAACCGCAUGGUUCAAAAGUGAAAGACGGUCUUGCUGUCACUUAUAGAUGGAUCCGCGCUGCAUUAGCUAGUUGGUAAGGUAACGGCUUACCAAGGCAACGAUGCAUAGCCGACCUGAGAGGGUGAACGGCCACACUGGAACUGAGAAACGGCCCAGACUCCGACGGGAGGCAGCAGUAGGGAAUCUUCCGCAAUGGGCGAAAGCCUGACGGAGCAACGCCGCGUGAGUGAUGAAGGUCUUCGGAUCGUAAAACUCUGUUAUUAGGGAAGAACAUAUGUGUAAGUAACUGUGCACAUCUUGACGGUACCUAAUCAGAAAGCCACGGCUAACUACGUG
rnacentral:rRNA from 1 species